rnacentral:rRNA from 1 species
ACGGAAGGCAGCAGUGGGGAAUAUUGCACAAUGGGCGAAAGCCUGAUGCAGCAACGCCGCGUGAAGGAUGAAGGUCUUCGGAUCGUAAACUUCUGUCCUAAGGGAAGAACAAAUGACGGUACCUUUGGAGGGAGCCCCGGCUAACUACGUGCCAGCAGCCGCGGUAAUACGUAGGGGGCAAGCGUUAUCCGGAAUUAUUGGGCGUAAAGAGUGCGUAGGCGGUUUCUUAAGCGCGGGGUGAAAGGCAGUGGCUUAACCAUUGUUAGCCUUGCGAACUGGGAGACUUGAGUGCUGGAGAGGAAAGCGGAAUUCCUAGUGUAGCGGUGAAAUGCGUAGAUAUUAGGAGGAACACCAGAGGCGAAGGCGGCUUACUGGACUGUAACUGACACUGAGGCUCGAAAGCGUGGGGAGCAAACAGGAUUAGAUACCCUGGUA